GGGUAGACUUGGAGGGCAGAUAAAGACAAGCACUGUGGGUAAGACAUGUACCUAAGGCCUUGGAAUCAGACUGCCAGAUGUGGAUCCUAGCUGAAUUUACUGGAUAUAGGUGGCCUGCAAUCAUUGACUGGCUGGUGUGAAGGAAAAAAACCUGGCCCUCCUGCCUCAAUGAGCAACAACUCUGAAGAGCCAUCUCAUCUCCAGAGCUCCCAUAAGAUAGGGCAGAGGCCUCAGCAACAACCAGAUCACUGGCCCUCCUCUCGCUCUCCCCAAUCCUCUUUCUCACUCCCUUAUGGGUGUAUCUCUCAACAAAACUCCCCAGUAAACCUUCUGCAUGAAACUCCCUAUCGCAGACUCUAUUUCUAAGAAGCUCAGUCUAAGACAGUUUGUAUCAGGAAUGUUUAAGGAAGCAGACUCUAAAAUGGGAUUUGGGGAGUAGGUUACAAACCUACUGGCUGGAAUAAAAAUCUUAUCCCUGGUGGUAGCAGAAUAUGGAUAUAUUUGGCUCCAGGCAUGCUGGAGUGGUAUGAUUAUUACAAACCUCGCCAGUGAUGAACUGAGAUCGAAUACAGAUAAUAGGAGGUGCAUUGGCUAUUGUAGUAUCUUUGAUGCUGAAGAGGAUUUCCAGAUGGGUUACCCAUAGUAGAAGGGGCUUCCCAGGAAGCUCAAAUGGUAAAGAAUUUGCUUGCAAUGCUGGACACCUGGGUUCGAUCCCUGGGUCAGGAAGAUCCCCUAGAGAAGGGCAUGGCAACCCACUCCAGUAUUCUUGCCUGGACAAUCCCAUGGACAGAGGAGCCUGGCGGGCUACAGUCCAUGGACAAAGAGUCGGACACAACUGAGCAACAAACAUACAUUCAUAGCAGAACAGAAGAAUUGUGUUCCACCUGGCAAAGUUUGGGAGAGCAGAAAAAGUCUGGAGGAGGCACCACAGAAAAUGGCAGCUACAUGAGGUUUCUGGUCAUGCAGGAUAAGGAUGAAGAACAGAAGAAAAGAGAGCAUCAAAGACAGAUUUUACCUUAUUAAACCUGAAACACAGAUUCAAAUAGUUUAAAACAUGAAAAUAACCCAAAAGAUCUUCUAGAAUAACAGUUUCCAGAAUCACAUUUCUUCAUUUUAACAUGAGGGAAUUCAACUCGCUUCCUACAGUAUCUUCAAGCCCCAAGGUUCACCAACAAAGAUUUAUCUUAAAAUCUGUCUUCCUAAUUUUAGCUGAACUUCA
ensembl:lncRNA